UACGUAGGGUGCGAGCGUUGCCCGGAUUUAUUGGGCGUAAAGGGCGCGCAGGCGGCCACGCGCGUCCGUUGUGAAAUCGCUCGGCUCAACUGGGCGAGGUCAGCGGAUACGGCGUGGCUGGAGCAAGCUAGGGGGCAAGUGGAAUUCCCGGUGUAGUGGUGGAAUGCGUAGAUAUCGGGAGGAACACCAGUGGCGAAGGCGGUUGCCUGGAGCUUUGCUGACGCUGAGGCGCGAAAGCGUGGGGAGCGAUCCGG
rnacentral:rRNA from 1 species